rnacentral:rRNA from 1 species
AGUGAACGCUGGCGGCAGGCCUAACACAUGCAAGUCGAACGACAACACAGUAAGCUCUCGCCCUUACGGGUGGCGAGUGGCGGACGGGUGACGCAUGCAUCGCCUUCCUCUUUUUCGUGGGGGAUUACGUAGAACCGCUUACGCUAACACCGCAUAUGUUCUACGGCUUGAUUCAAUGGAUCUUCGCACCUUGCGCGUCUGUAUUAGCCGAUGUCGGAUUAGCUAGUUGGCUGGGUAAAGGCCCACCAAGGCAACGAUCCGUAGCUGAUCUGCGAGGAUGAUCAGCCACACUGGAACUGAGACACGGUCCAGACUCCUACGGGAGGCAGCAGUGGGGAAUAUUGGGCAAUGGGCGCAAGCCUGACGCAGCCAUGCCGCGUGAGUGAAGAAGGCCUUCGGGUUGUAAAGCCCUUUUGUUGGGGAAGAAAAGCAGCAGAAUAAACCCCCGCUGUCCUGACGGUACCCAAAGAGAAAGCACCGGCUAACUUCGUG